rnacentral:rRNA from 1 species
CAGUGGGGAAUAUUGCACAAUGGGCGCAAGCCUGAUGCAGCAACGCCGCGUGAGGGACGAAGGCCUUCGGGUUGUAAACCUCUUUUAGUAGGGAAGAAGCGACUGGGUUUUCCUGGGAGUGACGGUACCUGCAGAAAAGGCACCGGCUAACUACGUGCCAGCAGCCGCGGUAAUACGUAGGGUGCAAGCGUUGUCCGGAAUUAUUGGGCGUAAAGAGCUCGUAGGCGGUUUGUCGCGUCUGCUGUGAAAACCCGAGGCUCAACCUCGGGCCUGCAGUGGGUACGGGCAGACUAGAGUGCGGUAGGGGAGAUUGGAAUUCCUGGUGUAGCGGUGGAAUGCGCAGAUAUCAGGAGGAACACCAAUGGCGAAGGCAGAUCUCUGGGCCGUAACUGACGCUGAGGAGCGAAAGCAUGGGGAGCGAACAGGAUUAGAUACCCUGGUAGUCCAUGCCGUAAACGUUGGGAACUAGAUGUGGGGACCAUUCCACGGUCUCCGUGUCGCAGCUAACGCAUUAAGUUCCCCGCUGGGGAGUACGGCCGCAAGGCUAAAACUCAAAGGAAUUGACGGGGGCCCGCACAAGCGGCGGAGCAUGCGGAUUAAUUCGAUGCAACGCGAAGAACCUUACCAAGGCUUGACAUAUACCGGAAACGGCUGGAAACAGUCGCCCCGCAAGGUCGGUAUACAGGUGGUGCAUGGUUGUCGUCAGCUCGUGUCGUGAGAUGUUGGGUUAAGUCCCGCAACGAGCGCAACCCUCGUCCUAUGUUGCCAGCACGUAAUGGUGGGAACUCAUGGGAUACUGCCGGGGUCAACUCGGAGGAAGGUGGGGAUGACGUCAAAUCAUCAUGCCCCUUAUGUCUUGGGCUUCACGCAUGCUACAAUGGCCGGUACAAAGGGCUGCGAUACCGCAAGGUGGAGCGAAUCCCAAAAAGCCGGUCUCAGUUCGGAUUGAGGUCUGCAACUCGACCUCAUGAAGUCGGAGUCGCUAGUAAUCGCAGAUCAGCAACGCUGCGGUGAAUACGUUCCCGGGCCUUGUACACACCGCC